AGUCUGUUGUAGUUUUAUAAUAGGUGGUUUCUGCCCGGUGAGAUAUUUAACGGCCGCGGUACUCUGACCGUGCAAAGGUAGCAUGAUCAUUUGCCUCCCAAUUAGGGGCUGGUAUGAAUGGGAAAACAAACGCAUUUCUGUCUCUUUUUUAUAGUUAGAAUUUUUUAUUUAUGUGAAGAAACAUAAGGUUUGAAGAGGGACAAGAAGACCCUAUCGAGUUUUACCGGUAUGUGGCGCAAAGUUUUGUAAUAUUACAAAACUUUGGGUUGGUUUUUGGUUUAGUUGGGGCGAUUAGAAAAGAAAGAAUCUUUUCUUUAGGAAUAAAACUGAUAUGUUUAAAAAGGAUCCAGUUUAAUUAUUUGAAGAAUAAGUUACUGUAGGGAUAACAGCGUUAUUUUUUUUGAGAGUUCUUAUCGAAAAAAAAGUUUGCGACCUCGAUGUUGACUUGCUAUAUCCUGUAGGUGUAGUGGCUAAGAGGGUUGGUCUGUUCGACCAUUAAAAUAGC
rnacentral:rRNA from 1 species